rnacentral:rRNA from 1 species
GACGAACGCUGGCGGCGUGCUUAACACAUGCAAGUCGAACGGAAAGGCCCUGCUUGCAGGGUACUCGAGUGGCGAACGGGUGAGUAACACGUGGGUGAUCUGCCCUGCACUUCGGGAUAAGCCUGGGAAACUGGGUCUAAUACCGGAUAGGAGCCAUUUUUAGUGUGAUGGUUGGAAAGUUUUUUCGGUGUAGGAUGAGCUCGCGGCCUAUCAGCUUGUUGGUGGGGUAAUGGCCUACCAAGGCGGCGACGGGUAGCCGGCCUGAGAGGGUGGACGGCCACCAUGGGACUGAGGUACGGCCCAGACUCCUACGGGAGGCAGCAGGGGGGAAUAUUGCACAAUGGGCGCAAGCCUGAUGCAGCGACGCCGCGUGGGGGAUGACGGCCUUCGGGUUGUAAACUCCUUUCGCUAGGGACGAAGCUUUUUGUGACGGUACCUAGAUAAGAAGCACCGGCUAACUACGUG